UACGUAGGGUGCAAGCGUUGUCCGGAAUUAUUGGGCGUAAAGAGCUCGUAGGCGGUCUGUUGCGUCGGCUGUGAAAACCCGGGGCUCAACUCCGGGCCUGCAGCCGAUACGGGCAGACUAGAGUUCGGCAGGGGAGACUGGAAUUCCUGGUGUAGCGGUGAAAUUCGUAGAUAUCGGGAGGAACACCAGUGGCGAAGGCGGCGAUCUGGGUCGAUACUGACGCUGAGGUGCGAAAGCGUGGGGAGCAAACAGG
rnacentral:rRNA from 1 species